rnacentral:rRNA from 1 species
GACGAACGCUGGCGGCGUGCUUAACACAUGCAAGUCGAACGGAAAGGCUCCAGCUUGCUGGAGUACUCGAGUGGCGAACGGGUGAGUAACACGUGGGUAAUCUGCCCUGCACUCUGGGAUAAGCCUGGGAAACUGGGUCUAAUACUGGAUAUGACCUUUCUCCUUAUGGGGUUUGGUGGAAAGUUUUUCGGUGUAGGAUGAGCCCGCGGCCUAUCAGCUUGUUGGUGGGGUGAUGGCCUACCAAGGCGACGACGGGUAGCCGGCCUGAGAGGGUGAUCGGCCACAUUGGGACUGAGAUACGGCCCAGACUCCUACGGGAGGCAGCAGUGGGGAAUAUUGCACAAUGGGCGGAAGCCUGAUGCAGCGACGCCGCGUGAGGGAUGACGGCCUUCGGGUUGUAAACCUCGUUCAGCAGGGACGAAGCGUAAGUGACGGUACCUGCAGAAGAAGCACCGGCUAACUAUGUG